rnacentral:rRNA from 1 species
UACGUAGGGCGCAAGCGUUAUCCGGAAUUAUUGGGCGUAAAGAGCUCGUAGGUGGUUUGUCGCGUUGUCCGUGAAAACUCACAGCUCAACUGUGGGCGUGCGGGCGAUACGGGCAGACUGGAGUACUGCAGGGGAGACUGGAAUUCCUGGUGUAGCGGUGGAAUGCGCAGAUAUCGGGAGGAACACCAGUGGCGAAGGCGGAGCCUUCGUCGGGCCUGGUCCCUGACGCUGAGGCGCGAAAGCGUGGGGAGCGAACCGGG